GCUGAAAUAGCUCAGUUGGGAGGGCGUUAGACUGAAGAUUCUAAAGGUCCCUGGUUCGAUCCCGGGUUUCAGAU